rnacentral:rRNA from 1 species
GAAUUACUUUAUUGAAACUUCGGUCGAUAUAAUUUAAUUCUAGUGGCGGACGGGUGAGUAACGCGUGGGUAACCUGCCUUAUACAGGGGGAUAACAGUCAGAAAUGGCUGCUAAUACCGCAUAAGCGCACAGAGCUGCAUGGCUCAGUGUGAAAAACUCCGGUGGUAUAAGAUGGACCCGCGUUGGAUUAGCUGGUUGGUGGGGUAACGGCCCACCAAGGCGACGAUCCAUAGCCGGCCUGAGAGGGUGAACGGCCACAUUGGGACUGAGACACGGCCCAGACUCCUACGGGAGGCAGCAGUGGGGAAUAUUGCACAAUGGGGGAAACCCUGAUGCAGCGACGCCGCGUGAAGGAAGAAGUAUCUCGGUAUGUAAACUUCUAUCAGCAGGGAAGAUAGUGACGGUACCUGACUAAGAAGCCCCGGCUAACUACGUGCCAGCAGCCGCGGUAAUACGUAGGGGGCAAGCGUUAUCCGGAUUUACUGGGUGUAAAGGGAGCGUAGACGGUGUGGCAAGUCUGAUGUGAAAGGCAUGGGCUCAACCUGUGGACUGCAUUGGAAACUGUCAUACUUGAGUGCCGGAGGGGUAAGCGGAAUUCCUAGUGUAGCGGUGAAAUGCGUAGAUAUUAGGAGGAACACCAGUGGCGAAGGCGGCUUACUGGACGGUAACUGACGUUGAGGCU